GAACCGCCCAAACGUUAUUCGGAAUCACUGGGCUUAAAGGGUGCGUAGGCGGCCUUGCAAGUUGGGUGUGAAAGCCCUCGGCUCAACCGGGGAAUUGCGCCCAAAACUGCUUGGCUAGAGGGAGAUAGAGGUGAGCGGAACUUAUGGUGGAGCGGUGAAUGCGUUGAUAUCAUAAGGAACGCCUGUGGCGAAAGCGGCUCACUGGAUCUCUUCUGACGCUGAGGCACGAAAGCUAGGGUAGCGAACAGGGAUUAGAUACCCUGGUAGUCCUAGCUGUAAACGAUGAGCACUGGGUUGGAGGCUCCUCCAUAGGCUUCCGGCCGAAGCGAAAGUGUUAAGUGCUCCGCCUGGGAGUAUGGUCGCAAGGCUG
rnacentral:rRNA from 1 species